rnacentral:tRNA from 1 species
GGGCGAUUAGCUCAGUUGGUAGAGCAGGAGACUCUUAAUCUCAAGGUCGUAGGUUCGAGCCCUACAUCGCCCA